AACGAACGCUGGCGGCAUGCCUAACACAUGCAAGUCGAACGAGACCUUCGGGUCUAGUGGCGCACGGGUGCGUAACGCGUGGGAACCUGCCCUUAGGUUCGGAAUAACUCCCCGAAAGGGGUGCUAAUACCGGAUAAUGUCUUCGGACCAAAGAUUUAUCGCCUUUGGAUGGGCCCGCGUUGGAUUAGCUAGUUGGUAGGGUAAAAGCCUACCAAGGCGACGAUCCAUAGCUGGUCUGAGAGGAUGAUCAGCCACACUGGGACUGAGACACGGCCCAGACUCCUACGGGAGGCAGCAGUGGGGAAUAUUGGACAAUGGGCGAAAGCCUGAUCCAGCAAUGCCGCGUGAGUGAUGAAGGACUUAGGGUUGUAAAGCUCUUUUACCCGGGAUGAUAAUGACAGUACCGGGAGAAUAAGCUCCGGCCAACUCCGUG
rnacentral:rRNA from 1 species